GUUGACCUCGGAUCAGGUAGGGAUACCCGCUGAACUUAAGCAUAUCAAUAAGCGGAGGAAAAGAAACCAACAGGGAUUGCUCUAGUAACGGCGAGUGAAGCAGCAAUAGCUCAAAUUUGAAAUCUGGCGUCUUCGACGUCCGAGUUGUAAUUUGUAGAGGAUGCUUCUGAGUAACCACCGACCUAAGUUCCUUGGAACAGGACGUCAUAGAGGGUGAGAAUCCCGUA
rnacentral:rRNA from 1 species